GUUGGCCCAUACUAUACCUAUAUUUCAUAUUACACAAAACUCACGAUCACUGUUAUCCGUUAUCAGAAAUAUUUUAUUUCAGAUAUUUCAGUUGUAACACUGCUUAGUUUAGUAGGUAGUUAGUAAACAAAAUUAUUGCUCUCAUUAGAUUUUUCGUUUGGACUGCUCACUUCGCUUACGUUUUACUUUUCGUAAUAUCGUUAUUACUUUUUUGAAAUAAUAGUGAGUUUUAAUUGGUAUUUUUUUUUUAAAUGUUUAAUUUACUUAAAUAAACUUUAAGUGCUGUGAAUUUAAUUGACUAAAUUAACAAACGUAACUUUCUACUUUUCAUAUGUACAAUUUUAAUGAAAUAAAGUUUAAAAAUGCGCGUUGAUUGGACAUUCUAGACCAAUGUAUUACGCAUCAAUUAAGUAAUAAUUCUGGAUUUCUAACGAUGUCUACAGCUACAAGUGAUAAUUCAGACAUCAUUAGUAAAAUUCAAAAAAUAGCUGAAGAAAGUGGAAACAACGUUUUAGUGCGUAAAAUUGUGUGUACUGAAAAAAUUAUAGACAUUCCUUACAAUAAGAAAAAAUAUUCUGAAAUAUCCAUAUCAUCGUUAAGUAGUUCUUCAGAGUCAAAUAUUUCAGAUUCUGAUACUGACAAUAGUUCAGAUUUGAACAGCGACGUGAACGAAAAAUUACAGGACAAGUGUGACGAACAAGUACAAAAUAUUGAAACACAUUUUUAUUUCUUAAAAGAAAUGUUGUAUAGUGAAAGAAUAAGAGAAGUUGAAGAGAAGUUAGUUGAAGUGAGAUUAGGUACAGCUAAAGAAUACCGUAUACCUUUACAAGAAUUACAAGAUCAAAUGAAAUCUCGACUUGAAGUAGCAUCUGUACUAAGACAAUUUAAAUUAACAAAUUUAAAACAUAAAUAUGAAGCAGAAGAACAAGCAAUAAGACAAAAUUUUGAGAAUAAUAAAGAAAUUUUAUAUGAUACUAUAAAAGCUGAUUUAGAAGAAAAAAUUCAGCGAUUAGAAGAAGCACGUAAUGAAGUAGAUAUAGAUGCCUCUCUUUGGUUAGGUCGUAGUUUAACUCGUAGUGGACGAGGACGUGGAAGACGUCCAUAUGGGCAUGUACAACCCAAGCGGAAACCUGUUAUUGUAUCUGGACCAUGUAUAGUGUACAACCUUAGAGAACAUGAAAUACUUGAAGAUUGGACCACAAUCAAAAAAUUGUUAUCAUCAUCAAAACGAAAAGAAAAUGCAGUGCAACGAUAUAAACCAUAUGAAUACUGCAAUAAAGUAUUUCAACUGAUUACAACAUACGGAAACAUCAACAUUGGUUAUACUAUUAAUUUAUUUUUAUAGUCAUUAAACAUUUACCCGAAUCUCCAACAACCAACACUUUAACGCUGUCGGUUGAAGCCAUUGAAAUCUCCAUUUUUAAAAGAAAAUUUAAACGGCGACUCAAUGUUGUUUAGCAACUGAAAUAUUGGAAAUAGAAUAUUUUAAACUCCACAACAAUAGUGAUUAUAUUCGUAUCAUGAGUAGAGCAUAAUGGGCAUAUUUUGUUUAUUACAUGGAUAUGUCCGGUCUAUCGAGAUAUAAACGCUCGCUACAAUUUUCCUUUUAUUUAGCCAUUGGCUACACUGUAAACGUUCCCACCCACUACGAAU